rnacentral:ncRNA from 24 species
AUGAACCUUCCAAGUUUUAAAAAGAGUGCGAUGAUACUAUUUGCAUUUAUUAAAUCGAACAAUUCUUCUCGGUGGACUAGAUAAUAUCUAAUUUACUGAGGUUUUAAUGGAGAAUGCGGUUCCUAUGCAGCCAAUAUAAUCUUGUUACAUUCAAUUGAAUGACAGGACGCUAAUAUUAUGAAAUUCUGAUUCUU